rnacentral:rRNA from 1 species
GACGUAGGGGGCCAGCGUUGUUCGGAAUUACUGGGUGUAAAGGGUUCGUAGGCGGUGUGGCAAGUCGGGAGUGAAAUCUCUGGGCUCAACCCAGAGUCUGCUUCCGAAACUGCUGUGCUUGAGUGUGGGAGAGGCGCGUGGAAUUGCAGGUGUAGCGGUGAAAUGCGUAGAUAUCUGCAGGAACACCCGUGGCGAAAGCGGCGCGCUGGACCACUACUGACGCUGAGGAACGAAAGCUAGGGGAGCAAACAGGAUUAGAAC